rnacentral:rRNA from 1 species
UACGUAGGGCGCAAGCGUUGUCCGGAAUUAUUGGGCGUAAAGAGCUCGUAGGUGGCUUGUUGCGUCUGCCGUGAAAGCCCGUGGCUUAACUACGGGUCUGCGGUGGAUACGGGCAGGCUAGAGGCUGGUAGGGGGCAAGCGGAAUUCCUGGUGUAGCGGUGAAAUGCGCAGAUAUCAGGAGGAACACCGGUGGCGAAGGCGGCUUGCUGGGCCAGUUCUGACGCUGAGGCACGAAAGCGUGGGGAGCAAACAGG